AGUGACCAUAUCAUGUUGAAGUACCAGUUGCCGAAUGCUCACGAAAGUUAAGCAACAUCAAGCUUAGUCAGUACCUAGAUGGGUGACCACUUGGGAAUACAAGGUGCUGUAA